rnacentral:sRNA from 1 species
AGGUCGGGCCUUUCAGGCAUCCUCUCCCAAAGACUUCAACAGGGUCGGCUCUUCGGAGCCGGCCCUUUUUUUAUCCAUA